rnacentral:rRNA from 1 species
GAUGAACGCUGGCGGCGUGCCUAAUACAUGCAAGUCGAGCGAACAGACGAGAAGCUUGCUCCUCUGAUGUUAGCGGCGGACGGGUGAGUAACACGUGGAUAACCUACCUAUAAGACUGGGAUAACUUCGGGAAACCGGAGCUAAUACCGGAUAAUAUUUUGAACCGCAUGGUUCAAUAGUGAAAGACGGUUUUGCUGUCACUUAUAGAUGGAUCCGCGCUGCAUUAGCUAGUUGGUAAGGUAACGGCUUACCAAGGCAACGAUGCGUAGCCGACCUGAGAGGGUGAUCGGCCACACUGGAACUGAGACACGGUCCAGACUCCUACGGGAGGCAGCAGUAGGGAAUCUUCCGCAAUGGGCGAAAGCCUGACGGAGCAACGCCGCGUGAGUGAUGAAGGUCUUCGGAUCGUAAAACUCUGUUAUUAGGGAAGAACAAAUGUGUAAGUAACUGUGCACAUCUUGACGGUACCUAAUCAGAAAGCCACGGCUAACUACGUG